GAGGAAUAUUGGUCAAUGGACGAAAGUCUGAACCAGCAACGCCGCGUGAGGGAUGAAGCAUCAAGGUGCGUAAACCUCUGUUAGAAGGGACGAAUAGUUCCGAUUGCAUCGGAAUCUGACGGUACCUUCAGAGAAAGCCCCGGCUAACUCCGUGCCAGCAGCCGCGGUAAUACGGGGGGGGCUAGCGUUGUCCGGAAUUAUUGGGCGUAAAGGGCGCGUAGGCGGAAUGGUAAGUCAGUGGUGAAAUUUCGAGGCUUAACUUCGAGUCUGCCUCUGAUACUGCUAUUCUUGAGUGCGGAAGAGGAAAGCGGAAUUCCCGGUGUAGCGGUGAAAUGCGUAGAUAUCGGGAAGAACACCAGUAGCGAAGGCGGCUUUCUGGUCCGUAACUGACGCUGAGGCGCGAAAGCGUGGGUAGCAAAC
rnacentral:rRNA from 1 species